rnacentral:rRNA from 1 species
UAAAGCGGCGCACGGGUGAGUAACACGUGGAUGAUCUACCCUAUGGUGGGGAAUAACCUUGGGAAACCGAGGCUAAUACCGCAUAAGUUCGAGAGAAGAAAGCCGCAAGGCGCCAUUGGAGGAGUCCGCGGCCGAUUAGCUAGUUGGUGAGGUAAGAGCUCACCAAGGCGACGAUCGGUAGCCGGCCUGAGAGGGCACACGGCCACACUGGCACUGAAACACGGGCCAG